GCAUUAAGUGUACCGCCUGGGGAGUACGGUCGCAAGAUUAAAACUCAAAGGAAUAGACGGGGACCCGCACAAGCGGUGGAGCAUGUGGUUUAAUUCGAAGAUACGCGAAGAACCUUACCUGGGCUUGAUAUCCUAAGAACCUUUUAGAGAUAAGAGGGUGCUAGCUUGCUAGAACUUAGAGACAGGUGCUGCACGGCUGUCGUCAGCUCGUGUCGUGAGAUGUUGGGUUAAGUCCCGCAACGAGCGCAACCCACGUAUUUAGUUGCUAACGGUUCGGCCGAGCACUCUAAAUAGACUGCCUUCGUAAGGAGGAGGAAGGUGUGGACGACGUCAAGUCAUCAUGGCCCUUAUGCCCAGGGCGACACACGUGCUACAAUGGCAUAUACAAUGAGACGCAAUACCGCGAGGUGGAGCAAAUCUAUAAAAUAUGUCCCAGUUCGGAUUGUUCUCUGCAACUCGAGAGCAUGAAGCCGGAAUCGCUAGUAAUCGUAGAUCAGCCAUGCUACGGUGAAUACGUUCCCGGGUCUUGUACUCACCGCCCGUCACACCAUGGGAGUUGAUUUCACUCGAAGCCGGAAUACUAAACUAGUUACCGUCCACAGUGGAAUCAGCGACUGGGGUGAAGUCGUAACAAGGUAACCGUAGGAGAACCUGCGGUUGGAUCACCUCCUUUCUA
rnacentral:rRNA from 1 species